GAUGAACGCUGGCGGCGUGCCUAAUACAUGCAAGUCGAGCGAACAGACGAGGAGCUUGCUCCUCUGACGUUAGCGGCGGACGGGUGAGUAACACGUGGAUAACCUACCUAUAAGACUGGGAUAACUUCGGGAAACCGGAGCUAAUACCGGAUAAUAUAUUGAACCGCAUGGGUCAAUAGUGAAAGACGGUUUUGCUGUCACUUAUAGAUGGAUCCGCGCCGCAUUAGCUAGUUGGUAAGGUAACGGCUUACCAAGGCAACGAUGCGUAGCCGACCUGAGAGGGUGAUCGGCCACCCUGGAACUGAGACACGGUCCAGACUCCUACGGGAGGGAGCAGUAGGGUAUCUUCCGCAAUGGGCGAAAACCUGACGGAGCAACGCCGCGUGAGUGAUGACGGUCUUCGGAUCGUAAAACUCUGUUAUUAGGGAAGAACAAAUGUGUAAGUAACUAUGCACGUAUUGACGGUACCUAGUCAGAAAGCCACGGCUAACUACGUG
rnacentral:rRNA from 1 species